rnacentral:lncRNA from 1 species
CCAUAACUUGUUAUUAACAAAUAAGACUACACUUGCUAACAGAGUAAGACUAUAGACAUUUAAACAAGGAGUAAGGUAAUUAACAAGUUAUUAUUUCAUGAAAUAAAGAUAAGAAGACUACAUAAUUGCUACAGACAUUCUCCAGUCUGCUGCCUUAUAUAACCAAUAAGCGCAAGCAAUACAUUAUUUAUUAGUUCAUGCAAAGAACACCAUUUAAGCAAAUUCAUGCCUUGUUCCAAGGGAAACAAUCAUUGAAAAUCUUCUUGUCUUUAUUCCACAUACAAGGGCCUAAAGGUUGAACAACCCACGAACAAUAAUUGUCGUCGCAUUUGUGGUCAUCCCUUUGAAACGAGUAAAUAUCAAACCAAUGAAAGUUGUUUUUCCAUGCAAACGAGCAAUAAAAGAGGGUGUUGUCUACAAAAUUGGGUUUGAAACGAAAAGUAAAGUAGCCAUUGUGAUGCAAUAGUUUGACACCCAGAUCAUCAUCUUUGGAUUUGCAAUGAACAGUUAGGUCCAACCCUAAAACAUUAGUGACAUUAACUGUCUGCGUUUUAGGAAACAUCCAGCCUUCACACCUACUAGUUAUAAUAAUUAUUGAGUUUUACAUCUAUACAUUAUUAUUAUUGUCUUUACAGAUGAAAUUUUUCCAUAUGUCUUGAAAUAAGUCACCAAAAAUCACUUCCCAAGCUACACAAGCUUCUGGUGGUCAUGGCUCUUAUUUUUAUGGAGUCCUUAGCCUUUUUACUUUUUUAUAUUUUGGAUUUGGAAUCAGAACAUAGCAUCAACCUGUAUGUCAGUGUAUAAAUAGAGAUCUGAUAAUACUUGCCAUAUGUAUCUCAAAUCAUAUUUUAGGAGAAAAAAUCAAAUGAAUACUUAAUAAUUUUUGGUAAGGUUUUCCUAUUUAACAUUUUUAGUAUAUAUUUGAAUGUCAUGCUAUAAUCUGAUAAUCCUUACCAUAAUCUAUGUAUCGAAAAUCAUAUUUUAGAGGAAAAAUCAAAUUAAUACUUAACAAUUUUUAGUAACCUAUUUAACAAUUUUCAAUAUACAUUCGGUUCGGUUAAUUGAUUAAUAGAAUAGGAAAAAAUAAAAUAAAAUAAAAUAAAUUCAUUAUAUUAAAAUAAAUCUAUAUAUAUAUAUAUAUAUAUAUAUAUAUAUAUAUAUAUAUAUAUAUAUUCGUAAAGAAAAAAAAAUCUUCAAACAGCUUACUUGACUCUCUUUAAUUAAUUUUUAAAUAUUUCUUUUUCUAUAUUUAAUCAAAUAUAUACAAUAUCUAAGAUUUUAAAUAAUUAACUCUUACAAAUUUUUGAAUUUUGAAAUUAAAAUUUUUAAAACUUGAAAUAUUUUUUUGUUAUUUAUAUCUAUUUAGAUGUACCUUCAUCUAUCUAUAUUAUAUGUACCUCAGUUGCAAUGAUUUGUUUUCAAAAUGGUUUUCUUCUUUUUUUUUUUUUUUUUUUUUUUGUUGCUUUUUAAUUAUAUAAGUUUUGAUUAUUGCUUUCUUUAUUUAUUUUUAUAUAUAUAUGUAUGUUCAAUUCAGAUGUACCAUUGUGUUUUUCUUCGAUUCGAUUGAGGUAGUGCUAACUCUUUGAUAUCUUUUUUUCUUUUGCAGAUUUUUUAACUUUUUUGAGCAAUUUUUUAUGGUUUUUUCUUUUUUGUGCAUCCCAUGACUUUUCUCAUCUUUAAUCUUAUUUCUUUGAUAUUUUCUUUGUUAUGUCACCAAUCGUACGUGUAGGUAUGAAAAAUAUCAUAUUGAUGGAGAUGAAGAUAAAAUAAAAGCUAACUAUAAAAUCAACUUAUGUAUUUUUUUUAAUUUAUUAUAUUUUUAACAAAUCGUAUAAAACUGUAAAUUGUAAAGUUUUUCAUUCAUCGCUCCAUAUUCAUAUACUUUUAUGCAAAUUUUAAUUAGAUAUAAUUAUUUUGAUCCAUGUAUUAUUAUGAUAAUAAUGUAUUUUUUUUGUUCUCCAAUUGUUGAGUUUUCUUUUUUGGAAGAGAGAGACCAAUUGUUCAGUUAAUAUAAUGAAUACAAUUCAAGUGUUUCAUAUGAUUAUGUUUGAUUUGAGUUUUGAAACUAAAAUUGGAGAGAGAAAUAUAAAGUGUAAUAUAUAUUUAUUUUUAUUUAUUUAUUUAUUUAUUAUUACUGCUACUACUUCAAUAGUAAAGAGCAUAUAUUUUUACUAUUGAAGGUCUAUAUAGCAAAAUGAAUAUUUACGUUAUUAAUUUUAAAGGGAAAAAGGAAAGAAACAUUAAAUUCAAUAAAUAUAUUUAAAAUAACAAAGGGAUCUUAUAAAUUAAAAAAAUAAAUAUCUUUAAUAAAUUAAAAAGAAAUGAGAUACCUUAUUAUUUAUAGUUAAAAUAAGAUUCUUAUUAUUUUAAUUUUUAAUUUUAUUAUUUAAAUAUUAAGAAAUUAUAUCUAAUAAUUAUAUUUUAAAAAUUAAUAUUCAUUUAUAAUAAGUAUCUAUAUAUAUUUCUAUUUUGAAUUUAUAUAUUUUUUUAUUAUAUCAGUAAAGAUAUUUUUUUAAGUUUAAAAAUUAUUAAUUAUUUAAAAUAAUUAGCAAUAUUUAUAUUUAUAUUUGAAUAUUUGAAUUUAUCUUAGUUUUAGAUAGGAUUGUUUAAUUUUUUAUGUGUUUAUUUAUUUAUAAUAAUUGAGUUUUACAUCUAUACAUUAUUAUUAUUGUCUUUACAGAUGAAAUUUUUCCAUAUGUCUUUCAAAUUUAUAAUUCCGCAAAAAAAUUUAACUGAUACUUAUUGUCUAGCACUUUUGCAUUGUGUCCAUUUAUCUUAUUAUAGUUUUUAAUAUACUUUUUAUAAUUUUUUAUUCACUUUUUUUUCAUUUGUAGGAUUUUUUUAUAAAUAUUUAUUUAUAUAUAUAUAUAAUAAAAAAAUAACCUCAAUAUAAUAUACUACAACAAAGUGAUAAAACAACACGGGCUUCCCUCUAAUUUAAAAAUAAAAACACAAUCACAAUUUUUUUUUCAGUUUCAAUUCAGUUAAACUAAAAUGUUUUUACUAAAAAUGGUUCAAACUAAAAUAGCAAAAAUUAUUAAAUUAAAGACUUACUACGGGUCUUGGAGGGCUUAAACCCACCCAGGUUCUAGUGCCGAUCCGGACCACGAAAUCGGAUCGUGACACUAAUAUUCCAAAUACAGCUCAUGUACAACACAUAUACUUGAUAUUUUCUCUAUGUAUACUCGGUAUUUGCUCGUAUAAAAAAGCAAUCUGCCUACAUAUUAAAAUAUAUACAAUUAAUCAAUUUUCUCAAACUCUUCUUUAUCUCUUCUAUCAUUUACAUUCUCUAGCCUAAAGCAUAGGUCUGGCCAGUGAGCUAACAUGUUUCUUUGAGUUUAACAGCUUGGAAGUUGGUUGAAAAUCUCGAUACCAAGUGUCAACUCCAAUAUUAAAGAGGUUUGGAGUUUGAUUUAUAGUAACGCUAUGGUUUGCUUCAUAGCAUAAAAGUUUAUAUUCCAGUCAGUUAAGAACUUUCAAGACCAAAGUUAGUUCAAGACCUUGACUCUCGUCAGAAACAACUCUGUGCCACCUAACACGUACUGUUCAUGGAUGGAAAGUCGAACCAGACCUAGGGCCAUAUAUGGAGGAGAAGAAGAACUUGAUGCCAUAACUUGUUAUUAACAAAUAAGACUACACUUGCUAACAGAGUAAGACUAUAGACAUUUAAACAAGGAGUAAGGUAAUUAACAAGUUAUUAUUUCAUGAAAUAAAGAUAAGAAGACUACAUAAUUGCUACAGACAUUCUCCAGUCUGCUGCCUUAUAUAACCAAUAAGCGCAAGCAAUACAUUAUUUAUUAGUUCAUGCAAAGAACACCAUUUAAGCAAAUUCAUGCCUUGUUCCAAGGGAAACAAUCAUUGAAAAUCUUCUUGUCUUUAUUCCACAUACAAGGGCCUAAAGGUUGAACAAUCCACGAACAAUAAUUGUCGUCGCAUUUGUCGUCAUCCCUUUGUACCGAGUAAAUAUCAAACCAAUGAAAGUUGUUUUUCCAUGCAAACGAGCAAUAAAAGAGGGUGUUGUCUACAAAAUUGGGUUUGAAACGAAAAGUAAAGUAGCCAUUGUGAUGCAAUAGUUUGACACCCAGAUCAUCAUCUUUGGAUUUGCAAUGAACAGUUAGGUCCAACCCUAAAACAUUAGUGACAUUAACUGUCUGCGUUUUAGGAAACAUCCAGCCUUCACACCUACUAAGCACCAAAAGAAACAUCGUUAGCAACCACAAGCUUCUGGUGGUCAUGGCUUUCAUCUUUAUGGAGUCCUUAGCCUUUUUACUUUUUUAUAUUUUGG